rnacentral:rRNA from 1 species
AGAGUUUGAUCCUGGCUCAGAACGAACGCUGGCGGCAGGCUUAACACAUGCAAGUCGAACGGGCAUAGCAAUAUGUCAGUGGCAGACGGGUGAGUAACGCGUGGGAAUCUACCCAACCCUACGGAAUAACGCAUGGAGACGUGUGCUAAUACCGUAUACGCCCUUCGGGGGAAAGAUUUAUCGGGGAUGGAUGAGCCCGCGUUGGAUUAGCUAGUUGGUGGGGUAAAGGCCUACCAAGGCGACGAUCCAUAGCUGGUCUGAGAGGAUGAUCAGCCACAUUGGGACUGAGACACGGCCCAAACUCCUACGGGAGGCAGCAGUGGGGAAUAUUGGACAAUGGGCGCAAGCCUGAUCCAGCCAUGCCGCGUGAGUGAUGAAGGCCC